UCGGGGUGUGGCUCAGGUGGUAGAGCGCUACUUUAGGGAAGUAGAGGCCGCAAGUUCAAGUCUUGUCACUCCGAU
rnacentral:tRNA from 2 species